rnacentral:tRNA from 1 species
GCCCGGCUGGCUCAAUGGUUAGGGCAUCUGACUUCUAAUCAGAAGGUUGCGAGUUCGAGUCUCGCGUCGGGUU